rnacentral:rRNA from 1 species
UUUCAACGGAGAGUUUGAUCCUGGCUCAGGACGAACGCUGGCGGCGUGCUUAACACAUGCAAGUCGAGCGGUAAGGCCCUUCGGGGUACACGAGCG